GAAUAUUAGUCAAUGCUCGAAAGAGUGAACUAGCUAACUGAAAUCAAUAAUAAAAUUGAUAACAUAAGGGAAAAAAAUGAUAUUACCUUAUUAUUAGUGUCGUCCAAAUCUGGUGCCAGAAGACUCGGUAAGGCCAGAGACACAAACGUUAAUCGUCUUAAUCAGGCGUAAAGGGUUUGUAGGCGGCUUUAAAAUUUAUUUAUAUAAUAAAAUUAAAUAAAUAAUAAAAGCUAGAAUCAAAAAGAGGAUAUAUUAAAGAAUGCUUAGAGUAGGUCUGAUAUCCUUAGAUACUAAGUAGAAUAUUAAAGGCGAAAGCUUUUUUCCAUUAAUGAUUGACGCUCAGAAACGAAGGUGAGGAUAGGAAAUAGGAUUAGAUACCCAAAAUACCCCUCUCUGUCAACGAUGAAUGGUAAUUAUUAGUAAAAAUUUUAUUAAUGAUAAUGUUAACACGAUAACCAUUCCGCCUUGUGAGUACAACUGCAAAGUUGAAAACAAAAAAAUUAGUCGGUUUCGGAGCAAACGAAGUGAAGCAUGUUAUUUAAUUC
rnacentral:rRNA from 1 species